GGGGAAUAUUGCGCAAUGGGGGAAACCCUGACGCAGCAACGCCGCGUGCGGGACGAAGGCCUUCGGGUUGUAAACCGCUUUCAGCAGGGACGAAGGAUUUCUGACGGUACCUGCAGAAGAAGCACCGGCUAACUACGUGCCAGCAGCCGC
rnacentral:rRNA from 1 species